rnacentral:rRNA from 1 species
AGUGAACGCUGGCGGUAGGCCUAACACAUGCAAGUCGAACGGCAGCACAGUAAGAGCUUGCUCUUACGGGUGGCGAGUGGCGGACGGGUGAUGAAUACAUCGGAAUCUACUUUUUCUUGGGGGAUAACGUAGGGAAACUUACGCUAAUACCGCAUACGACCUACGGGUGAAAGCAUGGGAUCUUCGGACCUUGCGCGAUUCAAUGAGCCGAUGUCGGAUUAGCUAGUUGGCGGGGUAAAGGCCCACCAAGGCGACGAUCCGUAGCUGGUCUGAGAGGAUGAUCAGCCACACUGGAACUGAGACACGGUCCAGACUCCUACGGGAGGCAGCAGUGGGGAAUAUUGGACAAUGGGCGCAAGCCUGAUCCAGCCAUACCGCGUGGGUGAAGAAGGCCUUCGGGUUGUAAAGCCCUUUUGUUGGGAAAGAAAAGCAGCAGGUUAAUACCCCGCUGUUCUGACGGUACCAAAAGAAUAAGCACCGGCUAACUUCGUG